UACGAAGGGGGCUAGCGUUGCUCGGAAUCACUGGGCGUAAAGGGUGCGUAGGUGGGCAAGUAAGUCAGUGGUGAAAUCUCCGGGCUUAACCCGGAAACUGCCAUUGAUACUAUUUGUCUUGAAUACUGUGGAGGUCAGCGGAAUAUGUCAUGUAGCGGUGAAAUGCUUAGAUAUGACAUAGAACACCAAUUGCGAAGGCAGCUGGCUACACAAAUAUUGACACUGAGGCACGAAAGCGUGGGGAUCAAACAGA
rnacentral:rRNA from 1 species